CAGUCACACUGAUGGGCCAUUAGGGGCCCAUAGGGGAGGGCCCUUUGUCUCUCAGGUGAAACUCACUUAAUAUUCAUGGCCAUUGCCACUCCCUCGCAUAUAGACCCUCGAUCACAAAACAUGUCUUGAAAAUUUUAAAUCAAUAUAUUGUUUUCUGUGAAUGAGUAAGCAGAAUGAUUUUCACAUAAUUUUGAAGUAAAUAUUCUAGCCUACAAGACUGAUUACUCAAAAGUCUUGUUCAGGACUAUUUAGUGUGGGUUUUAUGGCCUUAUUUCAGCUACAUUUUUUUUCCCAAAACUUACAAACCACGCAUAAUAUUUUUUUUCUAAAAAAUUCAAACAUGUACAUCCAUCUUGGUCACAUAUUAUUGUAGCACAGUUUGUGCUGAAUACAAAAAAAAUUACAUGUUGGUCAAUAGUAUGUUUUAAGUAGCUGAAAUAAGCACAAAUAUCAGGGCAUGUCAAAACAUCUCAAGGGCCCCAAAAUGACCUCAGACCCCAGAGGGUUAAAGUAACCACAUUUCUGUCUAGGAGAAAUAUUUUAAAUCAGUUCAGUAUUUAUUUAUUUACAAUUUCCCCGUAGGGAAAUUGUGCUUGCAGCAUACAUUCGCACAGACAUUAGACGAUUCACACUAGGCAUGUAGACAAUAAUUUAAUACUAAUAAAUCUAAUUAAAAUAUCCAGUCUAACUGACCAUCACGUACAGUACCACUAGAAGAAGAAGAAUUUAAAAACUUGAUUGCUUGGGGAAUAAAUGAUCAUUUUAACCUAUUUUUUGUACAUCUGGGAACACAAUAUCGUUGAUCUGAUGGUAAUAAUUCAAAGGUGUACAAUAAAGGAUGGCUCUUAUCAUUCACAGAUAGUGUUAAAUAAGGCCAAUAUCACUAUGUAUAUACUCUCUAUGCUCUUUCAUUUUAUUCCUAACAAUUUACUUGCUGUUGUUACCACCUUCCCCAAUGACCUCUUCUGGGCCUCAGAAGCAUUACCAUACCAACAGAUCACACAAAAUGUCAUAGUGCUUUCAAUAAAAGCCCCAUAAAACAUCAACAACGUUCUGCUAUCGACAUUAAAAGACUGUAAUUUCUUUAAGACGUACAUUCUCUGUUGUAGCUUUUUGCUUACACAGUCAGUCCAUGCAUCCCACCUAAGUUUAUUCAUCAACAUCAUACCAAGGUAUUUAUAAUUUGUUACUAACUGAAUUUGCUCCCCUUUAAUGUAGGAUGGGUUACAGAGCUGUACAGUGUGACAUAUAUGUCGCACGUGCUACGAAAAAACUGGUCUGUGCGAUGAAUAAAUUUACCACUGUAGCACACGUGCGAUACAGUUUUGCAUAUUCAUAACACAGCCGCUUAAUAGUGUGAAGUGAUUUCGUUGUGCUUGUUUGUGUGUGUGAGAUUGACUAUACAGUACUUGGUAGUUAUGGGUGUGCGAUAUGACAAUUUUUGAUCGUGGAUGAUUAAAAUGUCUCCACGAUCUGCUUUUGAAGAAAUAUCGUAGUAUUGUGCUACAGCGCACAUUCUAUCAGCUGCAGUUCUGGCGCAUCCACGUCAAUAUAGCCUACUGUACAAUGCGACAUACAUUCACAAUCACAUCAAAUGUUAACUCAGCAGUAGAGUUACACUCACGGGACACUGCACUUAUUCGCAAUCACAAAAGUACAUUAUUUACAUCUGCUUAAACAUUUAAUUCACGUGCUGUUCUGACAUACGUUUUUCUGAGCGUAUAUACACAUGAAACGUGCACACCGCACACUAAGGCCCCGUUUACACUAGUGCGUUUUCGUUUUAAAACGGCGUUUUAACUACCACAAAUAUAUAUAUUUUUUUGCAUUCCCAUUUGCUCAAAUAGCAACGAUGUCAAAUUUACUGUCACUCCCAUAGACACAGUAUUAGAAAAAAAUAUUUUUUUUGUAAUUUGAUGCAAAGGUAAUAUAAUACAAAAUAUAGUGUUAUAAAUGUAUAUACAUUUAAAAAAAAAAAAAAAUGAAAAUUUGAAAAACUUCAAAUGGAUUUAUGAUGCUGAUGACCAUUGAAACGCGUCAUCACAGUCUUGUGAAAAGGGUCCAUAACAAAGAUAAAAUAAUGAUAAGGUUUUUUUUACCUUCGCCCACUUUGGCCUAAAUGUCUGCCAUUAUUUUUUAUUUUAUAUUUUGUUGAGGUAUAGGAGGUGUUAUGUUGCUGCACUCUUCCAUUUUUAGCAAAUAAAUAAAAAUUUAGCUUGUACAUAACAGAUUGUUUUGUUUAAAACAAUUUUCGUGAUGGUUUGUAUUUUUUGUGCUCUUUGGAACAUCAAUGUUUGUUUAAUUGAUGAACUCCAUUACUUGUGUUUGUUUUCAUACAUGAUAACAGAGGUUUUGUACUUGUGCUACAACUUUUUCAACCUCUGUAGCACCAGUGCUAUGUGCAAAAAAGGUUAACGUACAACCCUGGGUUACACUUACCCUGCUCUUUCUCUCCAAAUUCGAUAACCAUCUCUUUAGUUUUGGAGAUAUUUAAGAGGAGAUUUGAAUUUUCGCACCAAUUUAAAAAGAAAUCCAAAACAGGCCCAUGAUCUUUCUCCCCAUCAUGUAAAAGGCUCACUAAAGCACCCGGACAGCACACAUACGUCUGGCCGACGUCGGCCCAAUAUCGAAACGUCGGCAUCACUACCUGAAACAUCUAAUAAACAUCGGCCAGGCGUAGGUCGAUAUAAUUCGGUCAGUGCUCUGUUUUCCAGCUCAUCAGUCGUCGGCCCUGAGUCGGUUCACGACCGCAGGCCGAUGCCGCGCUUUUCUGUUUGCGGCGAGCCCAGUUAUUCGUCUCUUAGCAACCCACAGAGAGAAGACACUCAUCCCGGAGACAUCUGUGCUUUCAGGUAAGAUUUCACUUCAGCUAAAUUACAAAAAAAUACUACUUUGUUAACUCUGUGACACUUAAAAGGUACUAGUUAGGCACAUUUGGUGUGCUACAGCACAGGUGAAGAGACUGUGGCUAAUUUCCAACUAACUUGUUUAGCUAACGGUCACGCUAGCGAUUUUUAAAAUUAAUGUUUACGCCUUAAUGCGUUUCCAGCCAUUUCUCUGAGGGGAAAUGUUAAAGCGGAUUAUUAAAGAGAAGUCCUAACUGCUUUUUCGCCGUGUUUUUCACUCUUUUACAGGCUGCCAGAAAGAAUCCGUCUCUAUACGGUGAGCUAUGGUUGCUGUUGCUUUUUGAACUACAAAUUGAGUUUUAAGUUCAUUAUUGACUAUUAAUUGAACGAGACUGUAAUUUAUUAAUGUAAUAUUUUAAUCCUAUAUGCUUAUUUGUGUAAAUGCUGUGUGCGCGUUGAGCUCUGCGCGAGCGGGGAGCAGAGUUGCCAUGGAAACGGGGCUUUGACACAACUACUGGUGAACAGUAAUCUCCGUCUCUCGCUGCGGUUUUCACUGAUUUCAGGAGGACAGAAAGAAACUCUACAUAACAGAAGGGAAGCUCCAAGAUUUCAACAUUUCUGAAGGGAGCUACUGACUUAGAAAAAUACAGAUUGCUUGUUUCUUUCCUAGAUUCUUCAGUGGUGAUGGCCUGCUGCACCCAGCAGAGUUGGAGUGAACCUACUGUCAGACAGUGGCGUACCGUGGGGUUUCAAUCAGGGCCUUCAGUAAGCAACUGUAAACUACAUGUACACAUUUUACACAUCUCUGUUACAGCUAACGUAGCCAUAUGCGUAAUGCACAUAUUAUGCCGCACACAGGCUCUCAACAACAAUGACUGCUGAUCAACAAUUUCAACAGUAGGCUAGAUUAGAGUAAAUUUCCCUACAUCAUGGUCAGUAAAAGUAAUCCGCCAAUACACAAGUCACUAUGCACAUUCACGUCACUCUAAAAUGACAACGUGCCCAAAGCAGCAAAACUGUACAAAUGCUGGACAUCCACACACCACACCACAGUAUUAUCAACGCACCAUGUACACCUCCAUAACAAUGUGCAUGAUACAAUACUCAUCAAAUAAUAAAGCACUCACCUGUCACUUGUAAAUAAAGUCCCUGGGUCUAUCAUUCCAUGCCUCUUUACUUGGAUUAAAAAGUAAACACGUCAACAAAAUAACUUGUGCUCGGUGCCAGCUGUUAGCCACUCAUAGCACUCAUAGUUGCAAUCUUUGAAAUGGCACAUAAAAACUUUGCUGGCCUUUGUUAGCGAAUUCAGUUUGGGUGUAGGUCUUCCUUUCUCAGUUAUUCUCGUUUGUCUGCAAAAGAGCGCCUUGAAAAGGUGUUUUUAGUAGCUAGGCAACAAGAUCUGGUGUAGGCGCCGGUGACUGCAGCUGUCAUUUUCUUUUCAUUGAAUUUCACUUUCAUAGCUUGGAAAUCCCUCACUAAAAGGGCGGUAUAAUGCUGGGGGUAGCACUGGGCACGUCACUAGACCCAGAGGACGGGCUGUCAUUGAACUUCAAAAUUUGAUUGGCUGAUGAUUCUGUCACUAAUGCUUGUAACUGGGUAUCUCGGAGAAAGAAUAAACAUUGUUCUUUUACAUAUAUUACCAACAUUGUAACAAUACAAAAUGGACUGAAAACGUUUUAGCUUACCCUUUAAUAAUGUUGAAGGAUAAUGUUUAACUGAACACAAAACUAGAGACUUGUUUAGUAAGAUUUUAUCUGAACAUAAGUGACACUCGACCUAAAACUAAAAACAUAGAUUCUGUUAUCUUAAGAUUAUAUUAUUAGUAGUAUUAGUUAUAUAUGUAUAUGUUAUUAUAUUGCUAUAUAUAUGAUUCUUUCUUUUAUCUGCAUUUUACUGCUGCUCUAGCUCGUUUCCUUCUAAUAAAUCUGGAGUUGCAAACUAAAUAUUGUUUGCUCUGUGUCAAAUUGCUUGUUUUGUUCCUAGAUUCUUCAGUGCUGAUGGCCUGCUGCACCUCAGCAGAGUCAGUGUGAACUCCUGUAAGACAACAUCACCAAGAUGCUAUAAACCGCAGGACUAGAUGCCCAUCCCGAGGUUACUAGAGAUGAAGCCAGCUCCAGUUUGGAUCCAAACUCACUUGUGAAGAUGCCAACGCUCACAAAGACUACAGAUGACGGCAACUGUACAUGGACACACAAAACACUGGACACACAAAACAAAUAUUAUCCUUAUAUUGCCUAUAAGGGUAAGUUUGACGAUUUUCAACCCGCUAUUGUAUUAUUGCAACGUCUGUAAUAUCUGUAAAUGAACAAUAUUUACUCUUUCUCUGAGUUAUAUGGACCCUAUUUGUCCCCUUUUAUUUGUAAGCAGCACUCCGCAGGAUGACGCAAAAUGAAAUGAGUUUUGACAAAAUGACACAAACACUUUUGCAGCAUCUAAAUGAAAAAAUGCUGUUUUGCAUCAGUUUUGCUGACAAAUACACUGGGUAUCUUGGAGAAAGAAUAAACAUUGUUCUUUUACAUAUGUUACCAACAUUGUAACAAUACAAAAUGGACUGAAAAUUGUUGAACUUACCCUUUAAUAAUGUUGAAGGAUAAUGUUUAACUGAACACAAAAAUAGAGACUUUAGUAAGAUUUUAUCAGAAAAUAUUUUAGAAUUUUUUAUCAUGCUAUUUAAAAAUUGUAACUGCUUAUUUAUUGUUUGCCUGGUUUUUAAUUUGUGUUUAUGCAACUGUUGUAUUAUUGUAACUCAGUUUUUGCCAUGAAGAUAGCCUUUGAUGCUGACAGCACAGAACACAUGACUUGUUUUAUGAACUACUGUCAUAUGGACAUUAUUUUGUUGCCUGAAGAUGGUCUUCCCCAGUGAGUCUGUCACCUCUGGCUGAUUAAAGGAUGGUUUUAAAUUGUAAUCUUGAAAUAUCAUUUCAAAGUAGGUUUACAGAAUAUGCAUAAGUAUUGUGAAAAGUGCUAUACUUAGACAAUAUUUAACCAUGGGUUUACUAUAGUAAAACUGUAGCAAGCAUGAUUAUAGUAACCAUGUGUUUUUUUUUAUUUUUGAAACCAUGGUUUCGAUGUCAUAUUCUAUAGUAAUAUUGUAGUAAUACUUCAGUAAAACUGGUAACUAUGACUAUAGUAACCAUAGUUUUUGAAAUCAUGGUAAAUGUUGUAACUAUGGUUUUACUGCAAAUGCUGUAGUAAUGGUUGUUUUGUAGUUACUAUGGUUUUACUGCAACAGUCAUAGUUAAACCAUGGUUACUGUAGUAAAACUAUGGUAGAUUUUAUUUUUACUAUGGUUUUACUACUUUAAAUGCUAUAGUAAUGGUUAUUUUUGUACUUAUAUGGUUUUACUGCAACAGUCAUAGUUAAACCAUGGUGAUUGUAGUAAAACUAUGGUUGAUUUUGAGUUUACUAUGGUUUUACUGCAAAUGCUGUGGUAAAAUCAUGGUUAAUUUUCAAAAGACUACAAAUAAUCGUGAAUUAUCCGCUUUUGAUCACAACAUCUGGUAAAUGUAAAUGUAUUUGUAUGUGUAAUGUGUUAAAUUGAAAUAUUAAUAAAGUUGCAGCUGUUCUUGA